rnacentral:rRNA from 1 species
AUACGUAGGGGGCGAGCGUUGUCCGGAAUGAUUGGGCGUAAAGGGCGCGUAGGCGGCGCGGUAAGUCUGGAGUGAAAGUCCUGCUUUCAAGGUGGGAAUUGCUUUGGAUACUGCCGCGCUUGAGUGCAGGAGAGGUUAUCGGAAUUCCCGGUGUAGCGGUGAAAUGCGUAGAGAUCGGGAGGAACACCAGUGGCGAAGGCGGGUAACUGGACUGCAACUGACGCUGAGGCGCGAAAGUGUGGGGAGCAAACAGGAUUAGAUACCCUGGUAGUCCUCACUGUAAACGAUGAAUGCUAGGUGUAGGGGGUAUCGACCCCUUCUGUGCCGCAGUCAACACAAUAAGCAUUCCGCCUGGGGAGUACGGCCGCAAGGUUGAAACUCAAAUGAAUUGACGGGG